rnacentral:rRNA from 1 species
UACGUAGGGUGCGAGCGUUAAUCGGAAUUACUGGGCGUAAAGCGUGCGCAGGCGGUGAUGUAAGACAGAUGUUAAAUCCCCGGGCUCAACCUGGGAACUGCAUUUGUGACUGCAUCGCUGGAGUGCGGCAGAGGGGGAUGGAAUUCCGCGUGUAGCAGUGAAAUGCGUAGAGAUCCGGAGGAACACCAGUGGCGAAGGCGACACGCUGGGCCGUACCUGACACUGAUGCGCGACAGCAUGGGGAGCAAACAGG